GGGGCAUGCUGGGAGCAGUAGCAUCUUAGCUGCUUCCGGCCGCUGGUCGCAGGGCUGCGGGACUACAAUCUUCGCAUGAAAUGGAAGAGAGGGUGGUGCGGAUAGCUUGAGGAAGGAACACUACAAGGCCUGUUAGAGAAGAAAGGGUAGAAUCCCGAGAAUGUUUUCCCCACAGUGCUGAUAAGGAGAGACCACUAUCCCAUCUACUGCUACAGCUCUGGAGACAGAGCUCUCCCACCUGUCAUAUAGAACACAAGGACCAAUCUGCAGAGAAAGAGCAUCCAAACCUGAUCCAGUGGACACUGGGGAAAAACUCACCACAGCUGAGUGUGGAAAAACAAGGCCAACACACACAUCUCUGCACAGAUACAUCUCCCAUAAAGAAACUAAAGUGUUAAUUUACAGGGCACUGUUGCAGACCCACUUCAGCUGGAAGCUAGGAACAUGGACAAGGAGCCUCUCUACCACCAAGGGAGAGAGAGGAAUGUGCUCUUGUCCUGGCAUUGCAUCCACAGGAGGGGCAGGAAAUUCUUUGAAGUGGUUUGUUAACCUUCUAAUGUGGAGAUCAUUGAGCCUUUCCGUGAGUAUUCUCCUGGUGUUUCUCCUGAGUGCCACAUGGCAACAGAUUUUAACUGAGCUGAGGGCCCAAAUGUGCAUUGUUGAGAACUAUCAAUUGCUUGGUUCUGGAAGUUGAAAUAAAUAUGUCCCUUUAUUA
ensembl:lncRNA LINC02987 long intergenic non-protein coding RNA 2987